ensembl:lncRNA
GCUCCUUCCCUCUUACAUUUGCAGUUUCCCAGGUGGUAGGAAGAGGGUAUCAGGUCCUGCUGUAGGUGGGCUUCUCUGGAUUUCAGAGAGAGGAAUUUAAGGGCCUAGAAGGAUCAAAUUGAAUGGAAAAUGGUAGUUCCUUCAAGACUGCAUUUUAAAUUGAAUUAAAAAGAAUUCGGUUUGAUUCUAUGUUUUUUAUAGGUUUUAUAGCAUCAUGGGACCUGAUCAACUGACAAGCAGAGCUAAUGAAAGCCUAUCACCAGAAGUAUACAGCAUUUCCCUUCAAAGGGGAUCUCAUUUUCACCAAAGAACUCACAAGCAAAAUGACAGUGGAAUAUGUUGGAACAGAAGUGUUCAUGUCUUUUUACACUGUCCUGCCAGAGGUAAGAUUUUAGAGCUGCAAACUCAUUAUCUUUUUUGUGAGUUGUGUGGUAUGUGGUGUUGUUUUUAAAGUCCUGUAUAGGGACA